rnacentral:rRNA from 1 species
UACGUAGGGGGCAAGCGUUGUCCGGAUUUAUUGGGCGUAAAGAGCGUGUAGGCGGCUUGGUAGGUCUUGCGUCAAAACCUGAGGCUCAACCUCAGUUCGCGUGGGAAACCAUCUAGCUAGAGUCCGGAAGAGGAGAACGGAAUUCCACGUGUAGCGGUGAAAUGCGUAGAGAUGUGGAGGAACACCAGUGGCGAAGGCGGCUUUCUGGUCUGUAACUGACGCUGAGGCGCGAAAGCGUGGGGAGCAAACAGG